rnacentral:misc_RNA from 1 species
CAACAAACUUAGGCUUUGUUUGUUUUCGCGUUUCCCAGUGGAUUAACAAAAAAUAUAAGAGACAUUUUUCAAAUAUAAAUUAUUUUGGGCGAAACAAAUAGGGCCUUAAAAUACUUACAGUAUGGAGCAUUGAUAUACAAUUACAAAUUGUAUCCCAUCUAUAGAGGAAAGCACAAUGUUCCAUACAUUUUUCUAAUAGCUUCUACAGAUAAAAUUUAUGAGCAAGGAAUAAAUAAAAACAUUUGUUGAAACAAAACUAUACAAUUACAAAUAUAUCUUAACAACUGGACCUCUUUCUCUUUCCAUUCCAGCCAUGAAAAUUUACCACUGACUGAAGAACUGUGAAUUUUGAAGUUCAAUGGCAAGAAGCUUCAAAAGCAAUUUGUAAUAAGUGAACAAAGGAAGUGAGAAGAGAGGGCUUUUUGUAAUAACCUAACUCUUGUAGACCUAACUACAAUAUACCUUUUUAUCUGGAUGGCAUUCCCUGAAGUGAAAAAGAUAAGGGCUAGCCUGUGGCCCUGUGGUUAAAAUUUAGCCACCACCUAUAGUCUAUAUUCUAUAUAUGUAUAUGCAUUUCCCUUGAUGUUUAUUCUAACAAGACAAUAGUAAAGAGAUCAUAAAUUAUGAUCCCAAAAUGAAUGCAUGUAUCUCUGCCCAACUAGAGACUGUAUACAAAACGCCUGGCUGACCCUUCCAAUUAGGAGAGCCACCUUCAACUAGUUCCUUCUGUUUCUUCACCAUACCAGAGAAUAAUGGAACAAAAGAGAUGCCAAAGUGAUCUCCCAGCCUCUGUAGGCUUGGGCUUGAACCAAUCACAAUACCUAUAUCGGCUUUGAGCAGGCAAAGCAAGUCACCCACUGAGCCUCCAACAUAGACAGUCAACUGCUGGCAAUCCGUAUUGCAGUCCUUUAAGAUGUCAUUAAAAGCUUGAAGUUUUUCCAUUGGGCACUCUACUUUCCUAACAAUUUCACCCGUUGAAAUAGUUUCUUCAUAAGCCAACUC